UGAGUGUGAGUGUGCGUGUGAGUGAGCAAGUCAGCAUGUCAAGUGCCAAGCUAACCGAGUAAAGUUGUUAUUUGUAUAAAAAUAAUGGACGAUUCUAAAAAUGAUAAUGUUUCACUUUCUAUGCAACUUCUACAGCCAGAAUUGCUUCUUAAAUCAACACUAAUUGAAAUCUUGAAAUCGCGAUGUGUAUCGGGUGACCUGACAAGUUGGGACAAUGAAAAACUGGUGGACCUGUACAGACGAGUGGUGCUUCCUCUGCCACAGCGAAUCAUCACUUCUGGCUGUCGAAAGAACACACUAAAGAGUAGCACCAAGUGCAAGAUAACUGGACCUGACUCCAGAGAAGAAAAACGGAGCUACAAAAUUGGAUUCAAUGGGUUGACGUCUCCAAAGCCCAGCAUUGGUUCUUCAGCCACAAAAGAUCGCCUGAAGCCGCCUCCUGACUGCUCCAAUAAGAAGCUCAAAGUUAGCUCUGGAAAUGAGACAAAACAGUCUGAUGAAACGACUGACUCUUCUAAGUCUGAAACGAAGAAAACACCGCCAGCUAAGGUUGCUUUGAAGCGACCUAGCUCACAAGCGAAAGAAUGCCAGAGUACACCCUCGAAGGUAGUAUGUACAACUAAUUCAUCAUCACCCGAAGACAAAAAGGCUCGAUCGAAAAUUACUUGGCCCUAAUUACUCGACCGCAACAUUUAUAUAAUAAAGAGCGCAAUCAAGCCUGCCUUGCAUUGGCAGUCGGUGCCAGACUCUCAAACAGUGAACGUGCACAUUCAUUAGUUUAGUGAAUAAAACACCUUUCGACUUAUCUUCACACAUUUUUCAACUAUAAUAUUCAAAAAGAUGUCAGUGCAAGUUGA
rnacentral:misc_RNA from 1 species